CUGGCUGCACCCCUCUUAGAUCCCAUUUAAGGGCUGACUGCUACUGGGGAAGGAUCUCUGGUUGGAGAUCUCUCCCUUGUGGAGUCUUUUCUGUGAACCCAGAUCUUCAGAGAUGGGUUUUGCUAUCUCUGUCCUUGAGGUUUUCAAGACCCUUCUGGACAAAGCCAUAAGACUUGCCUGACCUCAAUGACCACUGCUUUGGGCUUGACCUCCUGAGCUGCCUUCCUCCUUGAGUUUCAUCAUGGUCCUGUGAUCCUGUAACCCUUUUCAGGAGGGAAAACCAUCAUCAUCAUGUGCACUAGAUGUUUUAAAUAUAAGUUUUCCUUGUUUGUUUGUAUGUGCUUGAAGUAAAUUACUGCUAAGGAAGUAAAUGAGGAGAAAGGAAGAAUCUCCCACAGAUGCUGUUAGUGGAUGGAAAAAUCACAGGGUGAAUCUUUAGUCUAAAAGCAUGGGUAGGUGGCCUUAGAAAGUUGUCCAUUACAGGUCACGUUUCGGGCAUAUUACAGGAAUUUCCAAAUGUUCUGUUGCUGCAGUAAGAUUUGGAAAGAUACAGCUCUUGGGUCCACACCCUCUUCAUUUAAAUAAACACAACUGCUGCUUUGGGUGGUUGGCAACUGAACAAGCAGUUGCUUUUUGAACAGCGUGAAUGAAUUUCCUAUGGUGGCAUUUCUGAAGGGCUGAGUUUAUUUAGAUGUUGGCUUAUUUGGUGACCUGAAACAUGAAACCUUUACUCCAGUCCUUAAUCACCCUGAUUGGACACCUCGCCACCCCCCUUUCCUGUAGGCAGUGUGGUGAGAGUGAGUCUUCAGGGAGAGCAACUGGUAUUUACCUACGUCUAAGCUAAACAUGAAGUUUUAUGUAAGUUUCAUAAAUAGUUUGUGUGUAAUUGUUCAAAAAUCAUUUUUUUUACCCACUAUCGAGACUGAUUCUGCAGAGGACAACUUGUACAACAUGAAAUUAUGUAAUUGUAAUAUGGGUGCCAUGUAAGACUGUUCUAAGAUGUUUUACCUGCAUAUUUAUCAUCUACCUACCUCUGCUCAGCAGCUAUUUCUUCAUGGUAGCUGGUUGGUUUGAAAGUGAAGGAUGUCUUUUUCUUUAAUCAAAUUUGAACCUUUUCUUGCAGAAAAAGACAAACUAAACUUAAACACAGUCACAGUUUUAGCCUUUGGCCAAUUUCCAGUGAGUUUUUUUUUCCCUAAAAAUAAAACAAAAAGCCAUAUUCAGGAGACCAUGUCCUAGAAAACUUCUCAUUUUACUAUUUUUUUUUUCUGGUGUUGAUCUUUCCUGGAAAUGCUGAGAUAGAGGAAACCAGGACUAAAAUAAUACAGUUGCCACCAUUUUUAGGUGCUUGUCUUUCCUUCUUGUCAAUUCUGUUCAAUUCCUUUCGCAGCUCGGUCCUUUCUGGGAUAGAUUCUUGUUUUUGUGUGUGAUUUUGGUCUCUUGGCUCCAGAGCAACUUCAUGUUUUUUUGGUCGUAUCUCUUGGCAAUCACCUACCCUAAGCUGUGUAUUGUGGGAUACAGCAUUUCAAAUAGCUGCACCUCUAUGCAGCCCAAUUACUUGGUUUAAACUUUCAAAAAGCCAGUCAGGUUUGAUGGAAAGACAGAAAAAUAAGCAGCAGCCACCAUUUUCCUUGGUGCUGUGCUCAGGAAGCAAAUCUGUCUUUAGUGGUAGCACAUGCCUCAUUUCUAACUUAAAGCACCUGUUCUUUUUACACUUUUCUUCCAAAGCUUAGUAUCUGAUUUUUCUUCCCAUGAAAGUGUCACAAAGGCCCCUCUCAGUCUUCUGAGUCAAAAUAUGUAUCUAUUUAGUCUGUUAGUUUAGGGUAUCGUCUCCACAUCUUGAAUUACUUUUGUGUAAAAUGUGGGAAAUUAGGUUUAUCUUUGCUUUGAGUUGCCUUCAGGUCAGUCUCCUUUUAAAGAGAAGCUGCCUUUGCUUACAAGCAUACACAGCAGUCUAUAAAACAGGUUGCUGUGUGAAAAUCCCCUUUCUUCCCUCUCACUGGAUGAUUGCAGCGAAUAGCUGGUACAGAAACACACAUUCACUAAAAAUGGCAGGUUUUAUGUACAUAAUUAGAAGUGAAGUUAUAAUGUGUAAGUGCAUGUACUAGAGCAAGAAAUAAUAUGCUACUAUUCCAUGAUGACAUUGUGGAAACUGGUUUUAAAACUAACUUUUUUUUAAAAGCUGCAUUCUACAUUUACAGUUUAAUUGUAGGAUCUAGUUUAAGAUAAUUGAAUCCUCAGGGAAUUCUUUCCUUUAAACUGAAUCGGUGUUAAUGUACACUAAAUUGCUUAAUUAAAAAUGAGUUUUUCUUGGCUGUUUGAGCCAAGCAGUAUUUACAAAAAGGAGGUAGAGAUGGCACUGACCUCUCAAAAACACUCCAAAAGUAAAGGAAAUAAGGGUGGCUAAGAUAAAAUGAUUAAUACAAAUUGGUAAAUGUGAUUUCAUCAUAUGUAAUUGUAACAAAUACUACCUUAGGACAACAGAUUUUUGAGGAUAUCUUGGCAUCAUUUGUAAAUGUUUGUAGUUUCUCUCACUUCCACUGAAACAGCAUGGUUAUACGUUUUAGCUUGUCCCUGCAGUGUGGCUGAACAUUUAACAGACAAGAAAAAUGAAGGUGUAACUACUACUAUUAAAUAAAAAGGCAUUGUGUGAA